rnacentral:rRNA from 1 species
GAACGCUGGCGGCAUGCUUUACACAUGCAAGUCGAACGGUAACGCGGGGGCAACCCUGGCGACGAGUGGCGAACGGGUGAGUAAUACAUCGGAACAUGUCCUGGAGUGGGGGAUAGCUCGGCGAAAGCCGGAUUAAUACCGCAUACGCUCUGAGGAGGAAAGCGGGGGACCCGUAAGGGCCUCGCGCUGCAGGAGUGGCCGAUGUCGGAUUAGCUAGUUGGUGAGGUAAAGGCUCACCAAGGCGACGAUCCGUAGCUGGUCUGAGAGGAUGAUCAGCCACACUGGGACUGAGACACGGCCCAGACUCCUACGGGAGGCAGCAGUGGGGAAUUUUGGACAAUGGGGGCAACCCUGAUCCAGCCAUGCCGCGUGAGUGAAGAAGGCCUUCGGGUUGUAAAGCUCUUUCGGACGGAACGAAAUGGUUACGGUGAAUAUCCGUGACUGAUGACGGUACCGUAAUAAGAAGCACCGGCUAACUACGUGCCAGCAGCCGCGGUAAUACGUAGGGUGCGAGCGUUAAUCGGAAUUACUGGGCGUAAAGCGUGCGCAGGCGGUUCGCCAAGUCAGGUGUGAAAUCCCCGGGCUUAACCUGGGAAUUGCGCUUGAAACUAGCGGGCUUGAGUGUGGCAGAGGGGGGUGGAAUUCCACGUGUAGCAGUGAAAUGCGUAGAGAUGUGGAGGAACACCGAUGGCGAAGGCAGCCCCCUGGGUCAACACUGACGCUCAUGCACGAAAGCGUGGGGAGCAAAC